rnacentral:rRNA from 1 species
GACGAACGCUGGCGGCGUGCUUAACACAUGCAAGUCGAGCGGUAAGGCCCUUUCGGGGGUACGACGAGCGGCGAACGGGUAGGAGUAACACGUGGGUGACCUCGCCCUCCAGCUCUGGGAGUAAGCCUCGGGAAACCGGGUACUAAUACCGGAUAUGACUCCAUGACGCAUGUUGGUGGGGUGGAAAGCCUUGUGCGGCUGAGGA